GCCUCCUCCUCCCUCCGGCCUUCCGAAGCGCGCGGUGGCGGCUACAGCCUAAGCGGCAGUCUCCUCCCUCCUUCCCUCCUUCCCGGGUUCCCUCCCUCCUUCCCUCUCCGCUCUCCUCCCUCCUCCCGCUCUCUUUCCCCCCUCCCCCCUCCGAACCCCGGCGCAAGGGGGGAAUUAGAAACUGCUCUAGAAGGAUUUUAAACAACUGGCUGUUCUCUCUGCCGCCGCCCCUCCCCCCGCGCCGCCCGCGCUCGGCUCCUCACUGGAGAGAAGGCGCCGGGAGGAGGGGAAAGUGCGGCCUGGAAUCGCUGGUAGGAGCCGGCGGAGCUGGAGCUGUGGCGGCCCCAGACUUUGGGGCGCCCGCCGAGUACACAGACAGACAUACGGCCCCAGCUUUCGUGGGAGCCCCCACCAGCCCCCUCUCCUGCUCCUCUCCUGUCUGUGACCCCGCGCCAGUACCCUGGAUUGAUCUCUACAGCCCCCAGCCGUUCUCCCUGGGGUGUCGACCCCCCUCCCCCGUCCCCCCACCACGCCCUGCUCCCAGAGGGCCGCAGGCAGGGGACACACGCGCAGUUCCCUGAACCUUCUGUUUGAGCGACCCAGAGCGUCUCGCCUUCCCUCCUGGGUAGAGAUUGUCCCUCCCGCCCUCGGCGGGCGCCGCUGGGGUGGCGUCGCCUCGCCCCCGGGGCCGCACCCUGCUUCCCUGGGGAACACCCUGCCUCAGGCCUGCCUCCCCUCCUUAGAGUGAUCUGGUGGUGGAGACAUGACAUUCAUGGACUCAGAAGAACGGAAAGGAGUGAUGCUGAGUGAGUUAUAGUCUAAUUGUCACCUGCUACUUGUGGAAGGAAGAGAUGUUUGGCAUGGCACUGAUCAAUGUGUAUAUUUACUGGGAAGUUUACCCCAGGAGAAAAGAGAAAACCAGCUGUGUGAAUGGAAUUUGGAGAAAGGUAAAACCUCCUUGUAAACAACAACAAGAUCCAUGAAAUCUCUAUAGUCUUCCUGGAUAAGAAGUUGGCAAGAUUUCUGUAGACUUGGUCUUCCUUUGCACUCCUGGAAAUAAUCCAUUUAGGGCAGAGUUGAAGCACAUAAACAGAGUAAUACUUUCUCUUCUGCCUCUCUUCUGCUUAAGCAGUAGACAAUCAGCAGUUCUUUGGGUUCUCAAUUUAGUUGCAACAAAAUUCACUUUGAAAAAUAUGCUGUUGAGACACUUCAAUUACAGACUCACUUUGUAUGGCAUAUUCAAUAUAUAGGAUAAAAGUGCUUUAUAUGUGCUGUAUAACAUAUAGCGAUAAUGUAGUGUGCUGUAGUAUUUACCACUUUAUUGUACCAACUUGUUCUUUACAGCUCUUCAAAAUACAGGGAAAGUAUGACCUUAUUAGAGUGAGAGUUAAAAACUUAAAAAAACCGUAUAUUAAAAAAAAAUCAUUUGUGGGGCGCCUGGGUGUCUCUGUCAGUUAAGUGUCUGACUCUUGAUUUCAACUCAGGUCAUGAUCUCAUGGUUUGUGAGAUGGACCCCGGCAUCAGGCACUCUGAUGACAGGGUGGGGACUGCUUUGGAUUGUCUCCCUCACUCUCUCUCUGCCUCUCUCUCUCUCUCUCUCUCUCUCUCAAAAAUAAAUAAGUAAGUAAGUAAAUAAAUAAAUAAACUUUAAAAAAAUUUUAAAAAUCAUUUGAUCUUUUAGGAAAAGUUUAUUAUAUGUAUUACCUUGCAAAAUAGUAUCAUAGAAGAAUUGGAUAUAGAAAAAAAAAGGUUUUAGUUCACUACUGUGAUCAUUAUAAAAUAGAAGACAAAUUAUAUAGGUCGCUUCCCUUGUUGCAGAGUGAAAACAAACUAGUAUGUGAAAUGCAAAAAUACCCCCUUCUAAUGGAAAAUGUCUGGGAGUUACUGCCUUGAAAAAUUUCUAAAAAGUACUCAACAUCCUAAACAAUAGGAAAAUAACUUGUGUAUAAUGAGCUACACAUUCUCUUCUUCUUUGCCCUCUUUAUCUCUGAGAAUGUGAGGAGUUGGCAUUGAACAUAGCAAUGACUUAUGGACAACCUCAAAGGUCUAUGAAAAAAAAAACAAUCUGCAGUUUUGCUGAGGCAAGCAUCAGAAUCCCAAACAUUAUUGUCUGAGAACAAAUCACUUGAUUAGUGAGUGGGCUCAGCCAUCCACCUGGUAUUCACAUCUUAAGCAAGAUCUUAUGGUUCUCUAUAAUCGCCACAUCUGCAAUAAAUCCUGAGAAGAGAUAAUAACUUUGUUUCUUUGUAAAAAUGGCCCUGAAAAGAAAGUCAACUGCCAGUGCAGUGCUAAAAAAUGAUGGCAUUUAUUAAUUUUCAUUAUCAUAUUUUUUAUAUUUAAAAAUAUAUUUAUAUUUAGAUUAUAUUGUAAUUAGAUGCAUGACAUUGGAGGCCUCUUGAUAUACUUAUAAAUUUGAAGUCUCUCUGCGUAUACAGGCAUUUCUCUGCAGACUGGCACAUGACUUCUGUAAAUAGAGAUGGGAAGACCCCUUCUGGUUUCACCUGUUGGUUAGAAAAAAAAAAAGAAAAUAUUAUAUUACUGUGAUCUUUUGGGGGAUAAGCUCCUUGAGAACCUAAAUGUACUAUGUAACUGCCAGGGUCUGAGAUUGGUGUUUGUCAACAAAAGCUCUCUUAGGUCCGUGAAGUAGUUGCUUUCCUCUAAAUUUUGCUUUUAAAAAACCCUCUGUAAUUGACCUUGUUCACCAUUCUGCAGCUGAGAAAGGGCUCAUUGUUUUUAACUGAGAGUUCCACAUAGCAAUCACAAUAAUCCUAGAAUUUUAUAAACCACAGAAUUAAGAUGGCUCUCCAAGCAGAUAUCACCAGGCUGUUGAUAGGUGAAGAGCUUAUAUUUUAUGCCAUGUUAUUAGGUAUGUUAGGUUCUAACUGGAGACUGAAGUUGAAUCACUUAUUAUUCUACACAUGCCCCUUACUGGUAGUCGGUGAAACUCAGAUGAGAAUACCCUGUCCAGGAUUUGAUUAUGAUGAUACAUGGCAAGAUGUCAAGCAUCUUCAGAGGUCUUAGAUUUCUGGCCUAAUGCCAUUUGAGAGAUGACCUCUGAUUUUCAUUUGGCCUUCAUGAGGAUGUUGCAAAACAUUAUUCUCAUAACUGGUUCUAGCUGUAAUUCUUUUUUUUUUUUAAGUUUUUAUUUAACUGUAAUUCCUAGUGGUUGUUGUGGAAAGGUGGUAGCAUCAUAUAGUUGGACUUGUACGUUCUGAAGAAUCUUUGUUGUCUCAGAAGAACUCAAGGAAAUGUAAUUUCCAAACCUGGAAAAGAUUCGAUCUUUGAAUCACUUGUUUAGUCUUAUUGCCUUGAGUUAGAUAAAGUGAGUUACUCUUUAUGAAGCCUGAACAAUGCCAGAAACACAUCAUUAAAAUGUUAAUUUAAUUUGGCAUGUUGAGGUAAGAAUCCAGACAGUUUGGUUCACCCUAAAAGUGAGUGGGAUUAAUGAUACUGUUUUUGAUCUAGAAUAAUUCUGGUCACAUGAAUGAGAGUUCCAAGGCAAGGAGAUGGAGGUUAGUUAUGAAGAUGCGCUCACCGCCUUUGCAGUAGGUUCAGGACUAAAGUAUAAAGUUUGCUUUCUUCAGAGUUGUUGAUUGCAUACUUUUGGAAAACAUUAAAUUCACUUUUAAGAGGAAGGCAAAAGUUAAAAUUUAUUUGGCUAAUGAGUUUAAUUUUGUGAUCAUGAGUUUUUCUUUUGUUCUUCACUUCCCUGCUAACUUUUGAACUAAAAUGGAAGAUCCCUUUUUCAUAUGCUACCACCUUGUUUUGCAAAUCACCAGCAGGCCCAUAGUAGAAGUUAAAACUUUGCAGGCCCAGAUAUCACAAGAGUAUUCUUUUUCUAUUUGCCAAGAUAAAAUCCCAACUUAUGGCUUAGGACCAUACUGUAAAAUGUAAAUAGCAUUUUAAUGAGCCAUAUAGAGGAAGACUGGGCUGGGCCAGUUGCCCACCACUGAAAGGCUGGAUUUAAGGGUACCUUGGGUCAUAAUGAAACUAGUUUGGUGGUCUUAGCCUCCCUAGUAGACAUUUUCCCACAUUAGAAACCCAGCACAGGAGAUCAUGCAAUUCCUUACAAAGGACAAUUGUAGUUCUGCCCAAAACCAGAACUGGAGUGUGGAUGGGAUAACUAGAGGAGAAGCUAGAUCAGUUAAGCUUUUAAUUCUAAAUUAAAAUACUGCCUAAAUUUAGGAGGAAAAUGGAAAGGGGAAAAUAACUGCAUUGUGUAUUUUUAUUUCUGUCCACAUUCUGUAAUCUCAGACACUAUCUAAGGACAUCUCUUUUUUUCCAUUUCCUUCACUAUCCAUGUUUUUGACUCUGAGAAUAUAUUUUUCAAAAACAUUGACUAAAACCAUUGUGUUAAACUCUCAAUCCUAAUAACUCCAGCUCCUGGGGCUACAGGACUGAACAUCUCAACUAGAUUCCAUAUGAACUAUACUGGUAUUUUUCCAACCUCUCCCUGAUUCCAAAUUCAUCUUCUCUAACUAGCUAUAUCUUACCUGUCCCUUAAUCCAGGCACUGUCCCAGUUCCUACAGGGAACCCUCUGUAAUGACAAGCACACACCUUCAUCUCACCUUUUUAGUACUUGUCUAUAUGGAAUAGUUAAUGCCUAAUCAUAUGCAUUUGAUAAUCAAGUUGACUGAAAAUAUAAGUGAACAUUUAAAAGGUAGAUUAAAAAAAAAAAAACUCCAAAAAUAAGAUGCUACAUUCCUGACUUUACUUUAACAAAGAGGAUUCUUUACUCCUUUUACCUCUUUGGAAAAAGACUGGGGCUCUAAAUCCCUUAAUAAUUCUACUUGAUUUAAAUCUGACUUUAAUCCUGCAUGAUAAAUUAAGAUUCUGUAUCUUUUCACCCUUGCUUUUUGGAGUAAUUUGUCUAACCCAGCACCUGCAUAAAUAGAUCAGAUUCUCUAAGCAAUCCAAAGGCAUUCCAUUUAGGCCAGGUAGAGCAAAUGGUGCUAUCUGCCACCCCACCAGAGGACAUCCUGACCUGGAUAGUGUGUGGGUCCUUGAGGAGUGGUUGUAUUUAGAGACCCACUGACUGAAGGAAAGACAUCUGACUCCUCUGAUUGCAUGUAGAGUUCCCUGGACAGCCACUACAGGUCUCCACUUACAUUACAGGACUUCCAAUCCCCACCCCCCCAGCCCCAACUUAAAGAAAAAAAAAAAAAAAUUUGUCCCUGAGAGGCUGCCGGUAGCCAUCCAGAAGGAGAAAUCUGGCAUUUUCCCAGCACAGUGCUGCCCUGUAGCAGGAUAAUGUGCCUUUCCUGGAGUUGGGCAGACUUUGCCCUAAGGUUACAUUUCCACACAAAGAAGUCUUUUAAGGGUGCUGUUGCAGGCCUCUACACUGGAGGUUUACGUCUGUCAAUCUCAGAAAAAAGGAGGCCGUAAUAAAACUGCAGGAGCCAGCAGUGGGGAAUUACAACUCCAGGAUCAGCGGAGGUCUGCCUCACAGCCUUGCUCUAUGCUGAGAGUUGGCCUCUCUGAGGACAGAGAACAAUAAAGCAGAAGGAAUUUAAGUCAAUUGGCUGCUGGAUUGCAUUAGCAGGACUAGAGAAGGGGGCACUUGCUGAGGGUGGUGCACUGACUCUUGGCUGCUGCCAUUGUGCCAACCCAGCUGGGGUAUCCAGAGUCUGAGAAAAUGAGAAAAGUUCACCCAAGUCAAACAAGCCACAGGAAGGAUUGCAAACCCCCAAGUUGGAGGCUGUGUGUGUAGCAGCCAGUGCCACUCCAUGUGUAAUUCAGUUGACCUAUAGUGAGAACUGAUACAAAUUAAGAUCUCAGUGAAUGACCAUGAUAGGCAGAAAAACAGGAAAUGCAUCAGAAAGUGGACCUGAAUACUUUGUAAAGAGAGAUGAGGGAAAACAAAGGUGGCAGCAUUUGGGACUUAGGCAAAGAGAGGGGUGAGGAAGCCACCAAGUGGAUCUGAUUGGUUUGGAGGAUGGAGGAGCAAGUGGGUAAUGGAGCUUAGAAUAGAGAGGGCAUCACUGCCACCUGUCCGACAGCUCCACAGCCCUGAUUUUGGCAGUGUGGCCCUGAUGCCUGCAUGGAAGGCUUGUUAGACUUAGCUUGAGAGCUUCCUAAAAUAUCCACGGGCCUGAUGCAAUAUUACUUUGUGAUGGCAUUGCAUUGCGAUGUGGUGACAGGAUAACCUGAUGGUGAGGAAGGAGGGUCUUUUAUGUCUUCAUAGGAUUGUGUCUGAGAGAGGCCAGGUGAUCGGAGCAUUCCCAAAGGAAGAUGGGUCAGCUGGAACAGUGGUUAAGCUUUCUGAUGUGGAAGAACAGAGUUCCCAUCCACCCACUCCCACUGCAGAGCCUGGAUACCUGGGGAGGGCUCAGUCAGGGGCUGAAGUCUCAGGAGGACAGCCCCAAGGGGCCCCUCAGCAGUCCACAGGGCAUUCUAAAAAGCAGAGCAAGCAGGGAAAGGGCUGUGCUAACCAAUCUUCAUGAAGCAAGCAGCAGAAAGAAGGUAGCUUUCCCCAGAGUAAGUCCUCUGGGCAAAGGCACAGCAUUUGGGUUGGAGAAGGGGAGAGGAGGCAGGCCAAAUCUGGAGAAAGACACCAAGCUAGUAGCACCAGCCAGGUUUGGCCUAGGUCCCCAAAUAAAAACAAUUU